CUACGGACAUAUCAGGUUGAAACACCUGUUCUCGUACGAUCACCGUGGUUAAGCAACGUCGAGCCUGAUCAGUACCUAGAGUGGUGACCGCUUGGGAAUAACAGGUGCUGUAAG